rnacentral:sRNA from 1 species
UUGUAUGUUUUUCAUACAACCGAUGUAAGCGCUAUACGCUUGGCUGAAAUAAACCGAAAAAAACAGGCUAGACUUGCACUCGCUCAGUUUACUUACUACAAGUUAUGAGUAGUAUGUACGCCAGCCAAGCCCCCAUUAACCGGGGA